rnacentral:rRNA from 1 species
UGACGUCAAAUCAUCAUGCCCCUUAUGACCUGGGCUACACACGUGCUACAAUGGUUGGUACAACGAGUUGCGAGUCGGUGACGGCGAGCUAAUCUCUUAAAGCCAAUCUCAGUUCGGAUUGUAGGCUGCAACUCGCCUACAUGAAGUCGGAAUCGCUAGUAAUCGCGGAUCAGCACGCCCGCGGUCCGAAUACGUUCCGGGCCUU